ACUGCAAGGAACUGUGCACACUGGAACU
rnacentral:piRNA from 1 species